UAAAAUUUAUAAAAUUAGGUAGUAAAGGAAUUUCUGAAACCUAAAGAAUUUGGCGGUAUUUUAAAUAAUUGGAGGAACCUGUUAUUUAAUUGACAAUCCACAACAUAUCUUACCUAAAUUUUAUUUGUAUAUCGUUGUUUAAAUUAUAUUAAAAAAUUAUAAUUAAAUUUAAAAAAUUUUUAGAAUUCAGAUCAAGGUGCAGUAUAUUUAGGAUAUAAUGGGUUACAAUAUAAGAUAUAUAUAAUGGAUAUAAAUUUGAAAUUAUAUUGAAAAUGGAUUCAAAAGUAAAAUUAAAUUAAAAUGUUAAUUUGAUUUAUAAUUUAAAAUAUGC
rnacentral:rRNA from 1 species